AUGUACUUGUUCUUAUCCAAAGGUAUUCUCUUUUUAACAAGGAGCAGUGGCACGGGGAACAAGGUUGACAACAUACAUGGUCAGCCACGUAAGCUACCGUACCAAUUUAUAAAAGAUAUUACGAAUGAUUUCGAUGAGGCUCAAAUAGUUGGCCGUGGUGCAUACGGAACAGUUUACAAGGGUACUCGUGAAAAUGGUGAGGAGAUUGCUGUGAAGGUACUUCAGAACAUGACUGGAUUUGAUAAUAAGGAGUUUGAAAAGGAGUUUGAGAACCUUAGGAGGCUCAAGCAUCAAAACGUUGUUGAACUAUUGGGUUUCUGCAACGAAUCAGAGAAAGUUGUUGCAGAAUAUAAUGGGAAGCAAGUUAUCGCUGAAAAGAUGCAUACAGCGCUCUGCUUCGAGUAUGUAUGUAAUGGUAACCUUGCCGAGUAUAUUUCUGAUGAUCCUUGCUUGGGACUUAAUUGGCAGAUACUAUACAAAAUAAUUAAAGGGACCUGUCAGGGUUUAGAAUAUCUUCGGCAUGGAUUGGAGGUUCCAAUAUGGCAUUUGGACUUAAAACCUGCUAACAUAUUGCUAGAUAAAGAUAUGAUUCCAAAGCUUGCAGAUUUUGGCUUGUCAAGACUCUUAGGUGAUGAAAACACAAGAAAGACCAUCAGUCCCGUCGGUACAUGGUAA
rnacentral:rRNA from 1 species